UACGUAGGGUGCAAGCGUUGUCCGGAAUUAUUGGGCGUAAAGAGCUCGUAGGCGGUCUGUCGCGUCGGAUGUGAAAACUCGGGGCUCAACCCCGAGCCUGCAUUCGAUACGGGCAGACUAGAGUUCGGUAGGGGAGACUGGAAUUCCUGGUGUAGCGGUGAAAUGCGUAGAUAUCAAGAGGAACACCUGAGGUGAAGACGGGUUGCUGGGCCGACACUGACGCUGAGUGCGUGAAAGCCAGGGGAGCAAACGGG
rnacentral:rRNA from 1 species